rnacentral:rRNA from 1 species
AUUGAACGCUGGCGGAAUGCUUUACACAUGCAAGUCGAACGGUAGAGGGGGCAACCCCUCGAGAGUGGCGAACGGGUGAGUAAUAUAUCGGAACGUGCCCAGUCGUGGGGGAUAACGUAGCGAAAGUUACGCUAAUACCGCAUACGAUCUAAGGAUGAAAGCGGGGGAUAACAAGACCUCGCGCGAUUGGAGCGGCCGAUAUCAGAUUAGGUAGUUGGGGGGGUAAAGGCUCACCAAGCCAACGAUCUGUAGCUGGUCUGAGAGGACGACCAGCCACACUGGAACUGAGACACGGUCCAGACUCCUACGGGAGGCAGCAGUGGGGAAUUUUGGACAAUGGACGCAAGUCUGAUCCAGCCAUUCCGCGUGCAGGAUGAAGGCCCUCGGGUUGUAAACUGCUUUUGUACGGAACGAAAAGGUCUCUCUUAAUACGGGGGACUCAUGACGGUACCGUAAGAAUAAGCACCGGCUAACUACGUGCCAGCCGCCGCAGUAACAC